rnacentral:misc_RNA from 1 species
AGUCAUCAAUCCCUCCCGUUUUGCGACGGGUUGGGUUUGGAUGUUGGGGGCUCUGCUGCUGUGAAGCGGCUCCCCUUAAAUGCAUCGGUUGGGCCUGUGGGUCAAACUCGACUGGGUGUUGUACCAUCCUCGCUCGACAGAGAUUGUGCCCCUCUUGCGCCCUUCCCCGACCUGCCCCUCUGAGUGGGCGGUCAAAGUUUUGAAAU